rnacentral:rRNA from 1 species
AUACGGAGGAUGCAAGCGUUAUCCGGAUUUAUUGGGUUUAAAGGGUGCGUAGGCGGUUUGCUAAGCGGGAGGUGAAAUGCCGGCGCUCAACGUCGGAAGUGCCUCCCGAACUGGUGGACUGGAAUGACUCUGCCGUGGGAGGAAUGUGUAGUGUAGCGGUGAAAUGCUUAGAGAUUACACGGAACACCGAUUGCGAAGGCAUCUCACGAAGGGUUGAUUGACGCUGAGGCACGAAAGCGUGGGGAUCAAACAGGAUUAGAUACCCUGGUAGUCCACGCAGUAAACGAUGAUGGCUAACCGCUGGUUUAUUCGGAUCAGUGGCCAAGCGAAAGCGAUAAGCCAUCCACCUGGGGAGUACGACCGCAAGGUUGAAACUCAAAGGAAUUGACGGGG